UACCACCUUGAAACUGCCUAACUAGAGUUUUUAGCGCCUAAAGCGCAUAACUGUUAGCACUCUAGUCUUUGGU